GGCCUACCGUGGCAAUGACGGGUAACGGGGAAUUAGGGUUCGAUUCCGGAGAGGGAGCCUGAGAAACGGCUACCACAUCUAAGGAAGGCAGCAGGCGCGCAAAUUACCCAAUCCUAAUACAGGGAGGUAGUGACAAGAAAUAACAAUACAGGACUUUUUGGUUUUGUAAUUGGAAUGAGUUAAGUAUAAACCCCUUUACAAGUAUCAAUUGGAGGGCAAGUCUGGUGCCAGCAGCCGCGGUAAUUCCAGCUCCAAUAGCGUAUAUUAAAGUUGUUGCAGUUAAAAAGCUCGUAGUUGGAUUUCUGUUAAUAAUUUAUAUAAUAUAUUUUGAUAGAUAUUUAUAUAAUAUUAACAUAAUUCAUAUUACUAUUUUUUUUUAGUAUAUGAAAUUUUACUUUGAGAAAAUUAGAGUGCUUAAAGCAGGCAUAUGCCUUGAAUACUCCAGCAUGGAAUAAUAUUAAAGAUUUUUAUCUUUCUUAUUGGUUCUAAGAUAAGAAUAAUGAUUAAUAGGGACAGUUGGGGGCAUUUGUAUUUAACAGUCAGAGGUGAAAUUCUUAGAUUUGUUAAAGACAAACUAAUGCGAAAGCAUUUGCCAAGGAUGUUUUCAUUAAUCAAGAACGAAAGUUAGGGGAUCGAAGACGAUCAGAUACCGUCGUAGUCUAACC
rnacentral:rRNA from 1 species